CCAGCAACAGACACCUGGGAGCCUCGAUGCCUGGUCAGCCCGGGACCCCGUCGGGCAGGCAGCCGGUUGCAGGGGGACUGCCUGUACCGUUGCAAGCUGCCCCCUGACAAGGGGUGUGGGGGUGCCCGUUUUAUUCGGGAGGCUGCUGGGGUGAUCCCGGCUGUCCCGAAUCUCCACCGGUUUCCAGGGCCUCGGGCUGGCUGACAGGCAGAGCGGAGGGAUCUGGGAGCCUUGCAAGACCUGACUGCGGCGUGCUGACCGUGGUACCCUCAAUGAGCGGCACCUGGGAGCCUGGUUUGCUGCAGAAACCCGGGCCUUCCAAACAAAGCUGCAAGAGCUCCGUGUUCGUCUAUGUGGAUGUGGAGGUAUGUGACAGAUAAGGUAUUAUUGCCAAAAUUAAUUUGUAAAAGGGCUCUGUUUAAUGGGCUUAAAGAAAAUUGAGCAUUUACAUACACUUAGUAUUCAUAAAAAUUCUCAAAAAUAAAAUAGAAACUAAAUCCAAAUGAAUUUCCAGUUCACAUGAUCUGGGAAAAUAUUUGAUAGUAAGACAAAUUUAAGGUUGUGGGUUUAAUUAAAAGUUUUCCGUCUUCAGAGUUAUGAGCCUUAGAAUUAAACUCAUUGGACUUUCAGUAAACCCAGGAAAAAUAAAAGUUUUAUGUUAUCUAGGUUCCAGAAUUUCUCAACACCACCACCACAGCUGGAGAGAAUGGUGGACUUUGCUGGACAGACAGCUCGUGCAGUUUUCGUGGCUGAUGGACACGUGGCUGUUGAGAGCGCAUUACCUGAAUAGGACACUGGCGCUCUGUGCUGGCUCCCUGGUCCCUGGUGCUCGGGCGUCAGCCCCAGAGAAGCCGUGUCUGGAAUUCCUGCUGGGCGUCUACUGCUUGGAGAGCCCGAGGACCUAGCUGUGCACCUAGGUCACUCCAAAUAAGGUGGUUAUCGUGUUAUUCUGAAGCUUUUGCACAAGUGCCCCCUCCUCAAGGGGACUCAGGUGAGGACAGACCCAGACUCCGAG